rnacentral:lncRNA from 1 species
AGGGAAGAGCUGGAACCACUGCUUGCAGAUGAAAGAACUGGGACACACAGUGUCCACUACUUUAAAAGAACUGGAGACACAGGGGCAUCUCCCUGCCUGGCAGGAGUAUUGCGAGGAUGAGAGCAGAUGAGAAUACCAAGGCCCAGAGACAUGAAGUGACUUGGCUAAGGUCACACAGCAAGUCAAUGGCAAAGCCAAAGCCAGUUCUCAUUCAGAUCAAUCCUAACAGCACCACGCACGUCUCGAGACCAGUACACGUGAGAUGCUGAAGAUCCUCCUCUGGGGCCCUCCACCCGACACGCCGCCGCCUUGGACGCGUCUCCAGACCUCCCAGUAAUGUGGAUGUGUGGGCUCUUGGCACAGAGCAGGGGCCGUCACUGCUGUUAACUCUGCUCUCUCGCCUUCACCAUCUCUGGGACAGCCAGUGAUCACGGCCUCCCGGAGCGAGCAGCCCGUCACCGCCACCAUCCCGUCAGAGCG